CCCCUCAAAUGACACUGAAACACCUCCCAAACCCACACAUGGCACUGAAACACCUCCCAGCCCCACAGGGAACGGGAGGAUCCGGCUGGAUUCAGCACCGAGUGCCCUCCCCGGGCCCCAAGGAGCUUCUGAGGCUUUUCCAGCCCCAGAACCAGGUCACUCUUCCCACUGGAAGACAGUCUAAAAUGCAAGAGAGCUGUGGGAUCCUCUGUCCACAGAUCCACGGAGGCACGAGGAGGAAACAAAUCAAUCCUUCAUCUUCCUCGCUCGAGAAGGCACAAGAAACAGCAGCAGCACCCAGAAUCAAACCAGCACCUCCACCAAGGCCACCUUCAGAGCCCUCAUUCAGAGCAGAGGGGACAGGAGAGAAGAGAGAAGGCUCUCGCUGCUCAAGUAACACUAAAAUGAGAUAAAAGUACCUGAAGUCUUGCAAGACUCAGCUCCUAAGGCUUGUCUGAGGUCAGGCUGCCCGUGAGAUACAGCCCUGCCAGGAAAGUUCCAGACUUUGGUAGCAGCAAUAGGUCAGAAUAAAAAUGUUAUUAACAGCAUUUCUUGGAUUUUUUCCUAAUAAAUGUUUACAUCUCCGUGAAAAUAAAUUAAGCUGCUCCUCCCUAAAAAAAUACAGUAUUUGAGAUCUCCAGUAGUUUCCAGUGGUUUAUGACAAUUGUAAGCAGACUGCUCACAGGUGAGAGUCCAUCCAGCUGCUCCAGUCCCUCAAUAAAGUGCUUUGCUGUAGAAAAACCAAGUUAGGAACUCACCCCUGAGCCAGGAGUGACCCAAAACCCCAACAAUUUCCAAAGGUAGGAGUGUUUGUUUCCAAAGAAUUAAGGCUGGAAGGUUUUAAGCUUUGGUCCUUAUGAAGCUUUGGUCCUUUGCUUCCUGCUCUUUCCAACUUCCCUCUAAGGACUCUCUCUACCCUGGUAAAUCCCAGAGGUGCAAAAAGGCAUCUGAUUUUUUCUGCCCCAGCUCCAAACCCCAAAGUAUUUCUGUUUCCUGAAUGAAGGGUAAAAAGGAAAUGGUCACAGAACUCCCACAAAGAUGUGAGAGUCAGCCCUGCUCCAGAGCACGGGGCAGAGCCAGGGGAGCCUCUGCCUCCUCUGAACAAACUCCAGAGCAGAAAUUUUAACACACUAAGAGAACAACUUCUGAUUUAAAAUGUACCUUUGGCCCAAAUUGAUUGAUUCCAUUCCUAUGGUAGAAAUGUCCUGUGAACCUCAAUGUCUCCU